GGCGGGGCCACGCAGCCUGGCCUGCCCCUGUGCCAUGCGGCCCCGCCCCCGUGGCCCCGCCCCUACUCGAGGCCAGGGCUGCAAAUGAGGCCUGUUUGAAGGGAAGGCCACAAGCACCGCCGGCCCUUUCCCCUUGCCUUCUGCCUGGAGGGAAGAGGGCAGCCCUGGGCUCAAUGGCUGCCAGGCCAAGAGAACCGGGGCCCUGGACUCAUCGGAUCCAUUUACUGCUGAAACAAAGAAGACUUUUGGAGCUAUUGAAGACCCAAUUCUCCCUGGUUUACUCUGGCACAGCAUCUUUGACUCAAAAUGUGCCUGGAUUCGGUGUGUGACAGUGUGGGAAAUGGAUAGAGAGAGUGUAACAGAAAAUGAAAUGCUUGGCAAAGCUAGAAACAGCAAGAGAAAAAUAAAAUAAAAUUCUUGGACAAGCA
rnacentral:lncRNA from 11 species